rnacentral:rRNA from 1 species
GACGAACGCUGGCGGCGUGCCUAAUACAUGCAAGUCGAACGCAGUGGGGACGGGUGAGUAACACGUGGGUAACCUCCCAUCAGAGGGGAUAACACUUGGAAACAGGUGCUAAACCGAUACCGAUGGAUGGACCCGCGGUGCAUUAGCUAGUUGGUGAGGUAACGGCGGACCAAGGCCACGAUGCAUAGCCGAACUGAGAGGGUGAUCGGCCACACUGGGACUGAGACACGGUCCAGAUCCCUACGGGAGGCAGCAGUGGGUAAUAUUGCACAAUGGGCGCAAGCCUGAUGCAGCCAUGCCGCGUGUAUGAAGAAGGCCUUCGGGUUGUAAAGUACUUUCGGCGGGGAGGCGUAACCCACAGAAGAAGCACCGGCUAACUCCGUGCCAGCAGCCGCGUAAUUC